UUUUAUGUACAUGCCUACAACAUAGCGUUAAUGCAAUGGAUCCCAUUAUAACUUCGUAGUUAAGUGCGCUUGGGCUAGAGUAGUGUUGGGAUGGAUGACCACCUGGGAAGUCCUCUCACUCUCUCAUAU
rnacentral:rRNA from 1 species